GGGUCUACCCAUUGGUCAGGCUUAAUUGUCUGUACUGGUGGGAUGGAUCUCUGCCUUCUGAGGAACUUUCAUGCCAUUUAUUUGGUGUGGUUGGAAAUCAGGACUGUUACUUUGAAAAAAUUAGAGUGUUUAGAGCAGACUAUCGUCUGAAUACAUUAGCAUGGAAUAAUGAAAUAGGACGGACUGAUUCUAUUUCGCUGGUUUCUAGGAUCACCGUA
rnacentral:rRNA from 1 species